GGAGAGGUGUGUUUGAGAAAGGAGAUUUCCUGCUGGAAUAUAGAGGGGACCUCAUAGAUAAAGAAGAAUGUGAACGGAGGCAAAGGAUAUAUCAUGAUGCACUUAAAGUUUAUAUCUUUGAGUUUCGCUAUAAUGGAAAGCUUCUCUGCAUUGACGCAGCCCGGGAUGAUGGUAAACGAUGACCAUAUGAACCCAAACAGCAGGAUGAGAACCAUCUCUGCGGAUGGAAAACCUCACUCAAAGAGCAUCUGUCCUGGUGAAGAGAUAACUGCUUCUGACUGGCCAUGGCGAUGCACGAAAAUGAAAGCGAGCCAGAAACUGAAAAACCACGAAGAGGGCAAAAAGUGGCAUGGUCACAUGAUGAAAUUACAGCUGUAAUGAAACCUUUUAAGUCCCAUGUAAAUAAAGGUAAACUGGCCACAUGAACUGAAUGCCAGCAGUGUAAGUUUUGGCAAGGCGUAGUGCUCAGAACAUACGGGAUUUUGUUAGAAAUCGAGGAAUUAGCCUAAAAAGGAAAAUGCAAAGUAAGUAACCUAACAGUACAUCCUGUGUCUCUUUUGAUGCCGUUCUAUUGUAAUUAGCACAUUGGUGGUUGGUGCCUAAGGUUUUUGUUUAUUUGUUGAAGUUAUUAAAGUUCUUCUAAAACGCAUUGGUCCCUCUAAUGUUGUGUAUUGUGUUUAAGAUCCGGUACUCUUUAACCACCUCAGUCCUGGUAAUGCAGCAUAGUGACCCGUGUGUGUGUUGUGUAAGGUCAUGUACCAGUAAAACACCCUGGUCCCUGUAAUCCAGAGAACUGACAUGUUUGGUGUAUUGUAAAGUGAGUGUCCUCAUAAAUCAGUCAGACCCUGUAAAUCAUAAUUAUGAAAUGGGCGGGAACAUUUUAGGGGGGGCGUGGCAGUCCUUGUGUACCACCAAAAUAUCAGAUUGUCAUAUUAUCCAUUUUAUUGGUUGUAAAGAAAAUCCAAAGUGAUAUUUGUGUUCUGCAGAGUAAAACAAAAUUUUUGAUAGUUUUAUCAUCUCUGUAGGACAUUGGGAAAGAGGUGUCCCCUUAAACCACCAUCCAACUGGUUUGGCCUUCAAUGUCUUGCUAAACCACAAAAACCAGUAUGUGUGUGUGUGUGUGUG